UCUCUCGUAGCUUAGUUGUCAGAGUAUUGGUGCGUAAAUCUAAGGGUCCCGGGUUCGACUCCUGGCGAAGGUG
rnacentral:tRNA from 1 species